rnacentral:rRNA from 1 species
UACGGAGGAUCCGAGCGUUAUCCGGAUUUAUUGGGUUUAAAGGGUGCGUAGGCGGCCGAGUAAGUCAGCGGUGAAAUUUUGCAGCUUAACUGUAACAGUGCCGUUGAUACUGCAUGGCUAGGAUUUGGUCGCUGUGGGUGGAAUGUGUGGUGUAGCGGUGAAAUGCUUAGAUAUCACACAGAAUAUCAAUUGCGAAGGCAGCUCACAAAGCCAAGAUUGACGCUGAGGCACGAAAGUGUGGGGAUCAAACA